rnacentral:sRNA from 1 species
GUGCACAACAAGCCAAAUCCCUGGGCACCGGGGAGCGGGGGAACCAUUUCUUUGGGUGAAUUGAUCUCGUAACAGAGGGAUCAUAGGGAACCUUCAAACCGAAUCCUUAAGCUAACCACGCAGGCAUUUGGAAGGGGAAUU